UCAAGUAAUUAAGUGCAUGUGGUGGAUGCCUUGGCAGUCAGAGGCGAUGAAAGACGUGAUAGCCUGCGAAAAGCUCCGGGGAGGCGGCAAAUAUCCUUUGAUCCGGAGAUGUCUGAAUGGGGGAACCCACCUACUUUAAGGUAGGUAUUGCAACAUGAAUACAUAGUGUUGCAAGGCGAACGAGGGGAAGUGAAACAUCUCAGUACCCUUAGGAAAAGAAAUCAAUUGAGAUUCCCUCAGUAGCGGCGAGCGAACGGGGAUCAGCCCAUUAAGUUAUGUGUGUUUUAGUGGAACGCUCUGGGAAGUGCGAACGUAGAGGGUGAUAUUCCCGUACACGAAAGGGCACACAUAAUGAUGACGAGUAGGGCGAGGCACGUGAAACCUUGUCUGAAUAUGGGGGGACCAUCCUCCAAGGCUAAAUACUCCUGACUGACCGAUAGUGAACCAGUACCGUGAGGGAAAGGCGAAAAGAACCCCUGUGAGGGGAGGAAUAGAUCCUGAAACCGCAUGCAUACAAGCAGUGGGAGCACCUUCGUGGUGUGACUGCGUACCUUUGUAUAAUGGGUCAGCGACUUAUAUUCAGUAGCGAGGUUAACCGUAUAGGGAGCCGUAGAAAAUCGAGUCUUAAUAGGGCGUUUAGUUGCUGGGUAUAGACCCGAAACCAGGCGAUCUAUCCAUGAGCAGGUUGAAGGUUGGGUAACACUAACUGGAGGACCGAACCCACUGUCGUUGAAAAGCCAGGGGAUGACUUGUGGAUAGGGGUGAAAGGCUAAUCAAGCCUGGUGAUAGCUGGUUCUCCCCGAAAGCUAUUUAGGUAGCGCCUCGGACGAAUACCAUAGGGGGUAGAGCACUGUUUCGGCUAGGGGGUCAUCCCGACUUACCAAACCGAUGCAAACUCCGAAUACCUAUGAGUACUAUCCGGGAGACAGACUGCGGGUGCUAACGUCCGUAGUCAAGAGGAAAACAAUCCAGACCGCCAGCUAAGGCCCCAAAAUCAUAGUUAAGUGGGAAACGAUGUGGGAAGGCAUAGACAGCUAGGAGGUUGGCUUAGAAGCAGCCACCCUUUAAAGAAAGCGUAAUAGCUCACUAGUCGAGUCGGCCUGCGCGGAAGAUGUAACGGGGCUAAAACUAUGUGCCGAAGCUGCGGAUGUAUACUUUGUAUACGUGGUAGGGGAGCGUUCUGUAAGCCGAUGAAGGUGUGUUGAGAAGCAUGCUGGAGGUAUCAGAAGUGCGAAUGCUGACGUGAGUAACGACAAAACGGGUGAAAAACCCGUUCGCCGAAAGACCAAGGGUUCCAGUCCAACGUUAAUCGGGGCUGGGUGAGUCGACCCCUAAGGCGAGGCCGAAAGGCGUAGUCGAUGGGAAAAUGGUUAAUAUUCCAUUACUUCUGUGUAAUGCGAUGAGAGGACGGAGAAGGCUAAAUCAGCCUGGCGUUGGUUGUCCAGGUGAAAGGAUGUAGGCAUGUAUCUUAGGCAAAUCCGGGGUACUCUAUGCUGAGAUCUGAUAGCAAGCUGUACUUGUACAGCGAAGUGGUUGAUGCCAUGCUUCCAGGAAAAGUCUCUAAGCUUCAGUUACACAGGAAUCGUACCCGAAACCGACACAGGUGGUCAGGUCGAGUAGACCAAGGCGCUUGAGAGAACUCUGCUGAAGGAACUAGGCAAAAUGGUACCGUAACUUCGGGAGAAGGUACGCUGUUGUUGGUGAUGGAACUCGCUUCCUGAGCUGACGACAGCCGCAGAAACCAGGCCGCUGCAACUGUUUAUUAAAACAUAGCACUCUGCAAACACGAAAGUGGACGUAUAGGGUGUGAUGCCUGCCCGGUGCUGGAAGGUUAAUUGAUGGGGUUAGCGUAAGCGAAGCUCUUGAUCGAAGCCCCAGUAAACGGCGGCCGUAACUAUAACGGUCCUAAGGUAGCGAAAUUCCUUGUCGGGUAAGUUCCGACCUGCACGAAUGGCAUAAUGAUGGCGGCGCUGUCUCCAGCAGAGGCUCAGUGAAAUCGAAAUCGCUGUGAAGAUGCAGUGUACCCGCGGCUGACGGAAAGACCCCGUGAACCUUUACUGCAGCUUGACACUGAACUUUGACCUUACUUGUGGAUAGGUGGAGGCUUUGAAGCUGGAACGCUAGUUCCAGUGGAGCCGUCCUUGAAAUACCACCCUGGUAAUGUUGAGGUUCUAACUCUGUCCCGUGAUCCGGGACGAGGACCGUGUCUGGUGGGUAGUUUGACUGGGGCGGUCUCCUCUAAAGAGUAACGGAGGAGUACGAAGGUGCGCUCAGCGUGGUCGGAAAUCACGCGUAGAGUAUAAAGGCAAAAGCGCGCUUAACUGCGAGACCCACAAGUCGAGCAGGUACGAAAGGUCUUAGUGAUCCGGUGGUUCUGUAUGGAAGGGCCAUCGCUCAACGGAUAAAAGGUACUCUGGGGAUAACAGGCUGAUACCGCCCAAGAGUUCAUAUCGACGGCGGUGUUUGGCACCUCGAUGUCGGCUCAUCUCAUCCUGGGGCUGAAGCAGGUCCCAAGGGUAUGGCUGUUCGCCAUUUAAAGAGGUACGCGAGCUGGGUUUAGAACGUCGUGAGACAGUUCGGUCCCUAUCUACCGUGGGCGCUGGAAAUUUGAGAGGAUCUGCUCCUAGUACGAGAGGACCAGAGUGGACGAACCUCUGGUGUACCGGUUGUGACGCCAGUCGCAUCGCCGGGUAGCUAUGUUCGGAAGGAUAACCGCUGAAAGCAUCUAAGCGGGAAGCCUACCUCAAGAUAAGAUUUCCUAGGACUUUAUGUCCUCUAAAGAGCCGUUCGAGACUAGGACGUUGAUAGGUUGGAUGUGGAAGCAUAGUGAUAUGUGAAGCUGACCAAUACUAAUUGCUCGUGAGGCUUGACUA
rnacentral:rRNA from 1 species